UAACGUAUGCAGUUUAUUAAGGAUGGGCACGUAUAUUUAUUUGUUUAUAUAUUUAUUUGCUAUUAUUAUAUAUAUUUUAUAAAGAAAAAGCAUUCGAAGCAAAAAAAAAAAAAAAAAGAAAAAAAAAAAAAAAAAAAAAAAAAUUAUAAUCUGUGCUAUGUUCUAAUAAAAGUAUGUUUGAUUUUUUAUUUUUUUAAAGAACAUAAAAACAAAAAGAAAAAGUUUAAAGUAUAUAUUGCAAAAAGUGUAUAUUAAAAAAAGUAAAGAAGAAUUAACAAAAAGGUAUAACGAUUUUAAAAAUAGAGUUUUUUUUUUUUUUUUUUUUUUUACUGAUGGCAUAACAAUACAUAUAUGUAAAUGUAAUUAAAAUAUUGUCAUUUUUGAUAAGGACAUGCUUAUAAGUUAUAAAAUUGUUAAAAAAAAAAUAGGGAAAUAAAUAACUAAUAAAAUUAAUAAUAAAAAUAGUAGCUAAAUGAGACAAUUAACGAGAAAAUUGGCGAUAUAUAUUUUUUUUCAUUUUAUGUAAUCAUCAUUUCACCGCAAUUAUUAUAAAUAGUAUAGUGAAAAUGUCAAAUAAUAUGAAUAAUAUGAAUAAUAAUAAAAACAACUACAAUAAUAAUAAUAAUAAUAAUAAUAAUAAUAAUAAUAAUAAUAAUAAUGAGCAGUACAAUGACAUAAGAAAUAAUGCCAAUAACAUAACGAAAAAUAGUAUGAAUAUACCAAAUAAUGUGGGCAGUGUAUUAAAUAAUAUGAGCGGUAUACCAAAUAAUAUGAGUGGUAUACCAAAUAAUAUGGGCGGUAUACCAAAUAGUAUGGGUGGUAUACUAAAUAAUAUGAGCGGUAUACUAAAUAAUAUGGGUGAUAUAUCACACAAUAUGAAUUAUAUACCACAUAAUAUAAGCGGUGUACCAAGCAAUGUAAACAAUUUAAAUAACAAUAUUAACAAUAAAAUGCAUAAUAAAAUUAGUAACGUUCAUGAACAUAUAAAUAAUAUGCAACCUAAUAUAAACACUAUGCAAGCUAAUAUAAACACUAUGCCAAAUAAUAUGAAAUAUAACAUAGCGAACAAUAUAAAUAAUAUGACGAAUAAUGUAAACUAUCCCCUAAAUAAUAGUAACUCAAACAUAAAUAUAAAUAAAAAUAUGAACAUGAUGAAUAAAGUAAAUUUUAGCAAUAAUCUUAAAAUGAACAGCCCUUCCACAGGUAAUAAUAUAAAAUUUGAUAACCUUAUAAAUAGAAGGCAUAAUAAUAAUGUAAGAGAAAAUAUAAUGAAUAAUUUAAAUUACAAUUAUAAUAAUAUAAAUUUUAAUAUUAUGAAAAAUAAUAAUAUAGAUAUGAAUACUAAAGUAAAUAAUGAAAAUAUGGAAAACCCAACAGAUAAUACAGAAAAUAUUUUGCAAAAAAUGAAUAACAACAAUAAUAUGAUUAUUAAAAACAAUAUGAACAAUAAUACAGCUGCUAUUACUGCAAAUAGUAGCAUUAAUAACAAUAACAAAUAUUAUAUAAAUCCGGAUAAUCCUAAUAUAAAUAUAUUUUAUAAGAACGGUGUUGAACAUGUUGAAAGUAAUAUGAUUCCCACAAAUAAUAAAAUAAAUAAUAUUAAUGAUAAUCAAAAUAAUAUGCUUUUUUUUAUGAAUAAAGAAUAUUUAGAAAAUAUGUAUAAAAAAGAAAAGUAUUUAUUAAAUAAAAAUGAAAAUGAAAACAUGUAUAUGACAUCGAAUCAAUUUAGUAAUAUUAAUCAGGAAAAUAUGAUAACUUUAACCAAUAGCAUUAAAAACCAAGGGAUUAAAAUAAGUGGAAUGGACAAAGGAUCCGAUAACACAUUUGCUAAUUAUAAUAGUAGUAUUAAUCAUACUGGUAAUGAUAAUACCAAUAAUAGUAGUAAUAAUACAACUACUAAUAGUAAUAAUAAUAAUAAUAGUGAUAAUAAUUAUAAAAAUAGUAAUAAUAAUAAUUAUAAUAGUAACAAUAGCAAUUAUAAUAGUAACAAUAGCAAUUAUAAUAGUAACAAUAGCAAUUAUAAUAGUAAUAAUAGUAAUUAUAAUAGUAAUAACAAUAGUAAUAACAAUAAUAGUAAUAAUAAUAGGAAUAAUAAUAAUAAUAGUAAUAAUAAUAAUAAUAAUAGUAAUAAUAAUGAUAACAAUAGUGACAGUGGCAGUGAUAAUAAUAACAAUAAUAAUAAUACCAAUAAUAAUAAUAAUAAUACCAAUAAUAAUAAUAAUACCAAUAAUAAUAAUAAUAAUAAUAGUAAUAAUAAUAAUAAUAAUAAUAAUAGUAAUAAUAAUAAUGACAGAAAUAAUAAUAAUAAUAAUAAUAAUAAUAAUAAUAAUAAUAGUAGUAGUAAUAAUAAUAAUGACAGAAAUAAUAAUAAUAAUAAUAAUAGUAAUAAUAAUGACAGAAAUAAUAACAUUAGUACAAUACUUAUGAAUGAUAACAUAUUACAUAAUGAAUUAAAUACAUAUAACACUAUGUUUAACAUAGCUAAUAAUAACAUGUUCAUGUUUAAUGAUCACUCGAUUUUAGAAAAUAAAGCUAACGUUAUUGAUAAUAUGAUAAAAAAUAAAGAUAUUACAGAAAAUUCCAAUAGUAAUAUUUGUAAUGUUCCUAUUAGCAUUAUUAAUGCAAAUAAAAAUAUGAUUGAUACUGUAAAUAAUAUUAAUGAAAGGAAUAGUGAAAAUGAUACGACUAGUUUGUCAAAUAAAGUAGAGGAAGUAGUUGUACCAACUGGGAUGAGUGCUUUAAAUAAAAAAGUACAACAUAUAGAACAAAAAGAAGAAAAAAAAAGAGAGGAAGACGAAGGAAUGGUAGAAGCAGACAAAACAAGAGAAAAUAAAAAAAAAGUAGAAGCAGACAAAAAAGGAGGGGAAAAAACAGAAAAUGAAGGAAAAAGAGAAGAAAGAAUACAUGAAGAAGAAAAUGGGAAAAAGGAAAAAAAAGAAGAAGUAUUAAUAAAUGAUAUAAAUGGGAUAAAAUCUAAUAAAAAUGAUGGGAUAGAAAAACCAAAUUGGGAUAUUAAUAAUUUUUUUUCUAAUUUAAAUAAAAAUAAUGAACAGGCUGAUUAUAAUAAAAUAACGUUUAAUAGUAUAGAACAAACGCAGACACAGACACAAAUGCAAAGACAAAUUAGUGAGGAUGAUAAUAACAGAAUAGAUAAAAAUUUUAAUUUAAGUAUCCAGAAUAAUAUGAAAAAGAAAAGCUAUAGUAAUAAUAAAAAAAAUAUAUUUAAAAAUUACGAUACAGUUAAUAAUUUAACUAACUUUUUAUUAAAUGGUGGUGAUGAUAAUAAUGACAAUAGUAAUAAUAUAAACGAAAAUAGACUUUUUAGUGAAGGUGAAACAAAAUUUACAAAAAAAAAAAAAAAUUCUAGUUACACACAUAAAGAUAUAUCUGCAUACUCAUCCAGGAAAACGGAAAGUAAUAAAAAAAUAAUAGCCUUAACAAAAUUGUUUGGAGAUGUUAUCGACGAAAAUGACAAUAACUCUGAGCAUAACAUUGGUGGACAUAUUAGUGGAAAUAAACAUAAAGAAAAUGACAAUGUUUUUGACAUAUUUUCUGGUUCAAGAAAUAUAAAUAAUAUAUCC
ensembl:lncRNA